UACGUAGGGGCAAGCGUUGUCCGGAAUCAUUGGGCGUAAAGAGCGUGUAGGCGGCUCGGUAAGUCCGCUGUAAAAGUCCAGGGCUCAACCCUGGAAAGCCGGUGGAAACUGUCGAGCUAGAGUCCGGAAGAGGCGAGUGGAAUUCCUGGUGUAGCGGUGAAAUGCGCAGAUAUCAGGAGGAACACCUAUUGCGAAGGCAGCUCGCUGGGACGUAACUGACGCUGAGACGCGAAAGCGUGGGGAGCAAACAGG
rnacentral:rRNA from 1 species